rnacentral:lncRNA from 10 species
AUUUAGGGCACUUCACAGCCUUUGUUGCUGUGUGGCUUUGAAGCUGUUGCCUGCUCUCGCUCUGAGAGAUAGCUGAGAAAUAAUGCAAUGGUAAUUGCUCCCAGAAUGACUUUGGUUCAGGUCCUGGCUCUGCCACCCCUAGCUGAGUGAUUUUGACUAAGGAACUUAACUUCAGAAACUUCUGUUUUUCCCACGUGCAACAUGGGAAGAAGGAGCCACAUGGUGGGAGAGAUGACACACAUGAGUGUGAGCUUUGGAAUUAACAUCAGGACUUGAGUCGAGCCACUUACUAUCUAAGCGUGAGUGGCUGAAACGAAGAGAAUGGACAUGGAGCCCACCCGGAAGAGCACCCUUAACAUCAUCAUAUCCCUGAAGCACGAGUCGGGGUGGUGGGACUGCCCUGGAAACCCUGCACACAGCUGGCUUGAGCAGUGGGUAUUUUCAUAAGGCAUAUAUGGGCAUCACAGAACACUUGGAGCUUUAAUGAAGACAGCUGCCAUUCUGUGAGCUGUUCUAUGAAGGAGCCCACUUGGCAAGGAACUGGGGGAGGUCUCAGAUUAACAGCCAGCAAGAAACUGAAUCCUGCUAACAACCACCUGAAUGAACAUGAAAGCAGACCCUUCCCCAAUUGAGUCUUCAGAUGAGACCCAGUGCUCACCUGCACCUAGGUUGGAGCCCUAAGAGAAACCUUGAAGCAGAGGAACCAGCUUAACCUGAUCCAUGGAAACUAUAAAAUAAAAUGUGUGUUGUUUAAACUGCUAAAUUUCUGGAAACUUAUUACCCAGCAGUACAUAUCUAGUGUAUAAGGAUUUACCAGAAGAAAAUAAUCAUGGAUGUGUGCAAAGAUCUAAACACAAUGACGUUCACUGCAAAUUUUUUAAUAAUUGAGAACAUUUGGAAACAGUGUAAAUGUCAAUGAAUAUAAGGCUGGAGAAAUCAAUUAUAAUACAGGUGAACCAUAUGAAAUCAUUUUUGCAGGUUAAAAAAGGUCGAAUAGCACUAAUUUUAUGUGUUUCAACCUAAUGCAUUCGUAUGAUAUGGACAUGAAAAUAGUAUUUAUGAAAAAUACAAUAUGGGGGAACAUCAUAAAAUUUCAUGAUAUAUUGUUAAGUGAGAAAAAUGGCUUAUAAAGCAAUGAAAAUAUGAUUGUAAUUUUGUGAGAGAGAUAUACAGAUAUGCAUAGAGAAAAAGACUGCAGAUAUACCAAUAAAAAGUGAAUAAUGUUUACCUUC